rnacentral:rRNA from 1 species
CCUGCCCCCGACUCUGGGAUAAGCCCGGGAAACUGGGUCUAAUACCGGAUAUUACCUCUUGCCGCAUGGCAGGUGGUGGAAAGAUUAUCGGUUGGGGAUGGACUCGCGGCCUAUCAGCUUGUUGGUGAGGUAAUGGCUCACCAAGGCGACGACGGGUAGCCGGCCUGAGAGGGUGACCGGCCACACUGGGACUGAGACACGGCCCAGACUCCUACGGGAGGCAGCAGUGGGGAAUAUUGCACAAUGGGCGAAAGCCUGAUACAGCGACGCCGCGUGAGGGAUGACGGCCUUCGGGUUGUAAACCUCUUUCAGUAGGGAAGAAGCGAAAGUGACGGUACCUGCAGAAGAAGCGCCGGCUAACUACGUGCCAGCAGCCGCGGUAAUACGUAGGGCGCAAGCGUUAUCCGGAUUUAUUGGGCGUAAAGAGCUCGUAGGCGGUUUGUCGCGUCUGCCGUGAAAGUCCGAGGCUCAACCUCGGAUCUGCGGUGGGUACGGGCAGACUAAAGUGAUGUAGGGGAGACUGGAAUUCCUGGUGUAGCGGUGAAAUGCGCAGAUAUCAGGAGGAACACCGAUGGCGAAGGCAGGUCUCUG